rnacentral:lncRNA from 1 species
AGGUACUGUUGUAUAUAUUUUUUUGCCUGUUGAUUUUGAUGAGAUCUUAAGUUACUGUGGAUGAGGGUGAUGCCUAUUAAGCAGUUGAUUCAAAUCAUAUUCUCUUUAAUUCUUAGGAUAAAAAGGUUUUCUGCUAUCUAACUUUCACUUUGUGCAUUGACUGGUGUUGGUUAAUAAUGUUUUCAUGACCCGGGGGUUUAAGUGGUUGUGCUGCUUCACACAUGGCCUCCUGCUUCUCAUGUUGCUAUGUCACAUUAUCUGAAGGGAAGUGGGGAUGGGAUGAAAGGCCUUGUAAGGCCACCUAUAUACUGAAGGAAGUUGUAGUGAAUCACAGUCCAUGCUCAUUACAUAUCAAGGCAUUUGAAAUAGAAGUUACUCUUUUUCUUGGGAUGUUGACCUCAGUUGAUCAGGUUUUACAGUGUCCUAUGAUCAGAAUAGAGGAUGUGAUACUGGAAUAAUCAUUUUCUACCAUUGAGUAAGUAUUUAUUUAUAAAUUACUAAAUGAGUGGAAGAUCCUGGGUACUGGGAGGCAGGAGGUUGCAUAUUUGAGUUGAUAAGUUGUACUACUGAUAAUAAAGAUAACUGACACACUAAAACAUACUUGGUACACUGAAAUACAAAUUACGGUUAUGUCCAGUGGUAUCACCAAGUGACAAACUGGGAGCUAAAUAGUUCAGAAAUGCCCUAGUCUCUAGGUCCAGUUUGAAUUGGUUAUGGAACAAAGAAGCCAUUUAUAAAAGGGAAGAGAUUUUUAGGUUUUGCAGCUAAGGUUUAUAGUAGGCAGCGAGGGAAUGAUUCAUAGUGAUUGUAGCAGUUGGUUUACCAAGCACUAAAGAGAUUGGUGUUAACUCCAUAAUACUGAUAGACUGAUUGGAAUUACAUUUUUUCUCUUGAAUUUACCAGGAGUGGUUGUGAAUGUCACCUUUUCCAUCUUUUAAAUUACAUCCUUGCAGGUGGUAAUCACUCAAGGAAAAGGAAUUAUCAGAGUAACAAUAGUUCCUGUUACUGACUUGAUAUGGUCUCUGCCAGAAUAGCUUCUCAGAUUAAUGGCCACUCUCAGGGGAAGCAUUUCUCCUUGCAUUGGUUUGCUGGUAUGGAUGGCCCUUAGAUUUUGGCAUGAGUGAUUAUGCAGCCUAUUUGAAGAAAACCUGUUUUCAGGACCUUUUUAAUUAAAUAUGGCCUGUUACAUGAGUUAAAGUGUCAUACGAUACCAUUUUUUGACCACUUAGUUGAUGCCUCUGAAAGGAAGAGAGAAUCAGAUCGCUAAAAUUUGAUGUGUCGUCAGUGUGGAUCCUACUCAGUAGUGUCACAACGAGGCUGAAAAUCAUAUUAAGUGCUUUUAGGACAGAAACGUAAACUGCUCAGGUAAAAUAACCUUAUAAAGAGAAAUAAGCAUAUAUUGCAGAGGCCUUGGCUAGGUUCAUGAUGACACAGGACCUUGUCUGAACAUAAUGAUUUCAAAAUUUGAGCUUAAAAAUGACACUCUGAAAUCCAGUCAGUGUGCCUCACUAGACUUUUCGAUUUCAAGAUUUUCUGCAGAAAAUGUUUUGAAAACUUUGAAUACUUAAAAAUGGCAGGUGUAGUAUUGCACUUUGCUAGUUGCUCAGAUACCCUUUUUUAUUUGUAUAGAUAUUCUGAGUUCCUUUUUUUUUCUACAUGUUGUACGUUGUCGAAAGCUAAAAGGAAACUUAUCCUUGGAUCACGGAAGGCAGAGGCAUUUGGUGAGAUGGAAACAAGGAUGUGUAAAAAUGAGACGACCACCUCUCGGAUUAAAAAAAAAAAGUGCCAGAGUUCUAGGGUUCUAAGUGAUGUCCAGGAAGGAGGAGGAAUAAUAUUUAUGGAGCAUAUAUUAUGGAACACAGUGAGUAUAGUACCUGCCUUUAAAUGAAUACUGUUGGUUUUUUAGGACAGUUGCUUUUUUUUCUUUUUUCUUCAGCUGUGUGCAGUUGAUUAACUUGUACAGAGCCUAUCACACAAUAGAUGUUUAAGAAAUAUUAAGUGAAUGAAUGAGGCAGCAUUGCUAAUUUUUGUAUAGUGAGACAGUAUCUCACAGUCCAGGCUGGAGUUCAGUGGCAUUAACAUAACUCACUGCAGCCUUGAACACCUGAGCUCAAACGAUCCUUUCACCUUAUCCUCCAGAGUAGCUGGGACUACAGUCGCGUGUCAACAUGCCUGGCUAAUUUUAGUUUUCUAAUUUUUUUAGAGUUGGGAUCUCACUAUGUUGCUUAGACUGGUCUUGAACUCCUGGCCUCAUGCCAUCCUCUUGCCUCAGCUGGUAUUGUAGGUGUGAGCCACUGUGCCAGGUACUAAUUUUUUUUAUGUUAGAAAACAAGUUUUUAGGUAUUUUAUAGUUACUUCCUUAUGACAAUAUCUCAUCAGAAUCUAGGCCUAUCUGAUAUCUGACUCCAUACGUUUAUACCGUGUAGUCAGCCAUUCCCAGAUAGAGGUCAUUUGAGUUACUUAGUGUUUACCAGCACUUGUUUACUACCUUGCGAUGAUAUUUACAGUGUAUUUUUGGGUAUGGUUUUGGGGUUAUUUGGUUGUUGUUAAAAUGCCUGUAAUCCCGGCACUUUGGGAGGUUGAGGCGGGUGGAUCACCUGAGGUCAGGAGUUCGAGCCCAGCCUGGCCAACAUGGCGAAACCCUACCUCUACUAAAAAUACAAAAAUUAGCCUGGCGUGGUGGCAGGCACCUGUAAUCCCAACUACGCAGGAGGCUAAGGCAGGAGAAUUGCUUGAACCCGGGAGGCGGAGGUUGCAGUGAGCCGAGAUCGCGCCAAUGGCACUCCAUUCAGCUUGAGUGACAGAGGUGAGACUCCCAUCUCAAGGUAAAAAAAAAAAAUAGAAAUCAGCAACUGCUAUUUGAGUUUACAGGAGUGAGAAGUCCUCUCUUGCAUGGUGAGAUGGGGAACAUUUAAUUCAAUAGAAAUAUUUGAGACCAGGUAUGGUGGCUCAAGCCUGUAAUCCCAGCACUUUGGGAGGCUGAGUUGGGUGGAUCACCUGACAUCAGGAGUUUGAGACUAGCCUGGCCAACAUAGCAAUACCCUGUCUCAAAGAUACAAAAAUUACCCAAGCUUGGUGGUGUGUGUCUGUAAUCCCAGCUACUCAGGAGGCUGAGGCAGGAGAAUCACUUGAACCUGGGCGGCAAAGGUUGCAGUGAGCCGAGACCAUGCCACUGCACUCCAGCCUGGGUGACAGAGUGAGACUCCGUCUGGAAAAAAAAAGAAAAAAAUGAGAUAUAAAGUUCAAAGGAUGUAUUUAUUAAGCCAAUAUAAAGUAAAGAGGUGGGGAAUGUUGUAGAAGUAUAUGUUGAUAAAGGGAUCAGGUGGUUGUACAAUAAGAAGGGGGUUGCAGACAUGGAGAAACAGUUCUUCUAGCUCUUCCACUUUCAGUAUCAUCUGUGUGGGUCACUGGAAUCCUUUUUCACAAUGCCUGCUUGCCCAUGAGUUUUAAGAACUAGUACAGUGUAGAAAUGAUUAGUAGGAAAAACUUGGCUGGGUUAAUUUGCUUUGCUGAGCCGAUUCAACUUAAAAAGCGAGGUCCAUACUAAGUGCCCAAGAAUCAAGAAGGAGGCUCACAUUUGAACUUGAUGUUUAGUUAAUGUGAAUCAUUUUCUGUUGAACUAAUGAGAAUACAGUGACCUUGAGGGUUAGGUUGUACAUCUGAAUUGUUCGGGCUGUUUCCUGUCUUUUGGAUGUUUUGUUUGUAUAGAUAUUUUCAUUUUAUGUUACAUCAUUUGUUCUUUGGUAGCAAAAAUUGAGUUGAAAUGAUACAGUUCCUGAAAUCUAUGAUUUCAUGUUUCGGAGAUAUGUAUCAGGAAUAAUAGUGUGGGUUCUCAUGAGAAAAUCUGGAUUGCAUUACUGUGCUACUUUGGUUUCUUGUCAGAGAAGUUAGUAGUUUAGACCUCCUUCAGAAUCCUUUCUUUGGACUUUGUGUUUCUUACGUUGUGCCAGCCUUGAUUUUAUUUGUCUGUCCUCUGUCUUUCUAUACCAUUUGUUUACACUUAACUCUAGAAUUUUUUGAUGCAUGUUUUCAGUGUACUCUAGUCCUAAAAUUGGUUUACAUUUAAUUAUUGGGGAGAAUAGCAAGUUGUCGAUAGUAUCUGUGGUGGCAUUAGUGUAUUUCUGUUUCAGUUCUUUGGACAGUUUGCUAGUGGAAAUAGUCAUUGUAUUUAGCUCUGUGAGACCCGACUGGCAGAUUGCUGUCUCUCUCUCUCUCUCUCUCUCUCUCUGUGUGUGUGUGUGUGUGUGUGUGUGUGUGUGUGUGUGUAUGCGCGCCCGCGUUUGUUUCCUUCAUGUAGAUUGCUGUGUGUGUCUUUUUCUUCAUAAUUCCCCUUAAUUCUGUGUGCUUUGAAUGACACUGUUGUUGUUACUGUUGUUUUAUAUCCAUUGUCACAUAAAACUCUUAUCAUUUAUUCUUCCAGGCCAGGGACUGUCCUUAUGGGUAGAGAUACACUAUCUGCAGGAAUUUAUUUUUUUACGUAUUUUUACUAGUUGAUGGGAAAGACAUUGGGAAAGACCUGGGCUGGAUUUGUGAUGAGCUGUGUUUACUGAGCAUGAUGAAGUAAAGCUCAACGUGAUUACUCUGAAGUCCAGCCUUACUGUCAGUCUAAGGACUCAGGAUACAAAUACUCAAAACAUAAAUUCUUAGACUCUAAAUUUCACAUGGUUUUUCCUAUCAGUACAGGUUAAGGAUAAUGGCGUGUUGUAGGUUUUUCCAGUGCAAUACAAGGAAGUUGGUUCUAGAUCCUUUAGUACAGUUAAUGUUUUGUAGAGUGUGUUCUAUGUUCACUGCAUUGGUAUGUCUCAUCUUUGGCAUGAUCUUGGCUCACCGCAACCUCCGCCUCUUGCAUUCAAGCACUUCUUGUCUCAGCCUCCAGAGUAGCUGGGAUUACAAGCAUGUGCCAACAUGCCCGGCUAAUUUUUGUAUGCUUUUGUGGAGACAGGCUUUGCCAUGUUUGCCAGGUUGGUCUCUAAGUGAUCCACCCGCCUCAGCCCCACAAAGUGCUGGGAUUACAUGCGUGAGCCACCGUACCCAGCCACACCUUUGCUUAUUUCUACUAUGCAUUUCAAGUGAUCAUUUCAAGAGAAUAAGUACUUAGGAGCUCCUAUGCUCUUUUUUUUUUUAACCCUGUUGCUUGCAUCACCCGGUUCCAACCCUAUAUGAAAGUUUCAUGAGCAUGUUUCUGUCACUGAGGCAGCUUCUCCAUUUGGCAUAUAAUUGAGAAAUUGCUAGUUUGUGGCUGAGACAUUGGUUUGAGAGGAGACGUAAUUUAUAUAUUUAGCAGAAUGCUUAAGUUACAUUUCCAGAGAUUAAUUUAAUUCUACUUUUAAUUAAGUUAACCCUUUGCUGUAUCUUUACAAGACGUAGGUGGAGAUUUAAUUUUGACUCUUAGAUUCAGUUAAGGUGAUGAAAUUGGCAUUAUAUAGUUUUUGAUGCUGAGCCCCACGGAGAUUAAAAGAUUUGCUAAACACCAUGCAAUUUUUGAAUCACAUCUCUAAUCUCACAUUAUUCUGUACUCUAUUUUUUGCUUGUAUGAUUGAUGGGUCUUUCAUUAUCUGUGAUUGACAUUCUAUGAGUAGGUGCUUUUGCUUUGCCUAUAAGUCGUUAUUAUGAAGGAGGAAUGGUGAAUAAGAAGGUAAUUUAGAAAAGCCUAUAUUAAAUAUACCAUGAACAUUGAAUAUAGCAAGAUCUUAUUCUCUAGUUGUUAUCUUAGUUGAUAAAUUCUGUAUGUGUUAUGUGUUUGUGUAUACAUAUGUACAUAUUAAUGAUGUGGGUGUUGAUACUGUGAUCACAUGACAAAUGACUGGUUUAUAGUGAAAAGCUGUUGGGGUUCAGAGAAAUGAACAUUCUUCUAAAAGUGAGGUAGAUAAGUUAUUUUAUAGUUCUUGCCUUUGAGUCUCUGUUCUUCUGGUAGAAAUGUUAGUGUAUUUAUAACCUCUCAGAUUUGUUUGGUUCUCUUAGUGUUCUUGAUCCAGGCAGUUAGCGAUAUGUUGGAUGAAUUGAGAAAAAUGAGUUUUUCCUUUCCUACUAACUGAAUUAGAUUAGAAAUAAGCAGUUAAGUGAGAAAAAUAGGGAAUUAGUGCCAGAUAUGUUGAGGUGUAGUGUUGACAGGGGGUCUUUUACCUUCAGAUGUUUGGUGCAACUUAGAGAAUGCAGUGGUAGUUGCUGGCCCAGCCCAUCCAAACAACCUCAUUUGUGGGGUGAUACUUCACAGAUGACUUAAAAUAAAUCCCCUGAAAAUAAGAAUCUCUGGAAGAGAUGACACGUGUAUGUGCGUGUGUGCACGUGUGUGCGUGUGUGCACGUGUGUGUGUGUGUGUGUUUUGGUGGAGUGGUAGGAGGAGGGUUGGCUUAAUGAUGAGAAUCAUUAUUUCUUGAAUUGGAUGACACUUUCCAUUCCUGCAAAGGGAGCGUGAGGUCCAGCCUUGCUAAUUCAUGAUCAAAGUAAUUUGCUGAGAGUAGUGGAAGGAAUGAGUUAGCAGAAGAUGGCAAAUUGCAUUAAUGAGUAGUAGGAGGAAAACAAAUAAGCAAAUUUUAAUGUGGUUGGAACAUGUUCCUGAGUUGUAUGAAGGGAGACAGGUAAAUUGAGAGUAAUGUUAUGAUUGUUUCAUUUGUUGGAAAUAAGGAAAACUUGCAUGGUUUGAAUUGUGGAACAAUAGGUGGUGUAUGUUAGGAGUCAGAAUUAUCAUUUAACAUGUAAGUUUCUGUUUUACUUCAGAUAAAGAAUGUCAGCUACCUUUCCCAUGUUAGCUUCUAUACCUUUUCUUGAGGUGACCAUAAAUAGGUAAUAUUGUCUUUCACUGAGAUUGUUUUAAUUAGCGAAGUGUGCUGAUUAAAUGUCUUUUCUUGAUAAAUUAUUAGAAUGAAUAAAGGAUGGUAUUUCUAGAUAGCCUUGGUUAGUCAGUGAUUUGUUUAAAUUUAGUGUGGAUAAGAAUCACCUGAGGGCUUUUUAAACACAGUUUACUGGGUCCUGACCUUAGUGUUUCUGGCUUAUUAGGUAUAAGUAUGAGAAGUUGAUUUUUAUCAAGUUUCUAGAUGCUACAGAUCUAGGAACCAUACUUAGAGUGCUAUUAUAUGUCUUUUAAUGUACACUGAUAUGGAAAAAGCAAUGAUACAUCAUGUUAUCGCAUAUUUUAAAAUGUGAUCAUGACCAGGGAAUCUUGAAAGUUGUCUUAUGUAAUAAUGUAAAUCAAUGUAGAAUACCAUAUAUUUUUUUCUUGCAAGGUUAUUAUUAAUAGGAAUGACUAUUUGUAGCCAAUGUGUUCAAAUGCAUGGGAGGACGUAAACACUUCAUAAUUUCCUGGAAAUACAGACAUAUAUCACUUAAAAUAAUACAUUUCUAAUAUAAAUUUAAAUUAUCUACGUGAUAUGAGGAAACGAGCUUAUUUUUGAUAAUUUUCCUAGCAGUGAAUCAACUAUACUCAUUUGAAUCUAAAUUAAAUUAAAUUUGAGUAAAUUCAGCCAUUUCUAAAUUCAGUCCAUAUAAAUUCACUUUGGGUAAAAGAAGACAAAAUUCCUGAAAACAGUAGAUUAAAAAAAUAACAUUUUAAGAGCAGGUAUGAUCUCAAUGAAUAUAGUGUGGUAAUUUCUGCCUAAUACCUACCCUUUUGGAGGAAGGAAAGGUAAUCCUGUUUGUGUUUAAUGUUAAUUACUGAACUCUUUAUAACUUGUUUUAUUUAUUUAUUGUUUGAUUUUAAGCAUCUGCUUCUGGUGGACUUACAUAUGUUGGGUUUGGGAAAUUUCAACAUACAGGUUGGCAUUCCAGUGGCUAUAGUUGUUUCUUGAAAUUUAGUACUGUUUUCCAAUGAUGAUUCUCUUUGGGAAUAGGCUGUUCUCUUUUACUUAAAAACUGUAAAAUUAGCCACUUCAGUUGAGACUCCUCCAGGUUUGGAAGUGGUGAAGAAUAUGGAUAUAUUCAGAUCAAAUCAGUCAUUCUCUGUGAUACAGCAACUGAACAAGAAACCCAGACUUCAAACAAGCAGACUUCUUUGGGUUGGACUGAAUAAAAUGAGAAGAAAUUACAGAGGAUUUGAAAAUGUAUAUGGCCUAGGAAUUAUUGAAAUUAUUUUGGAGGGUGGCAACAAAUUUGGGACAUUGUACUUUCUGUUUUAAUGUCAAUUGUAUAAUGUGUAACUCUAGUGAGCAUGGCUGGAUACCGUGGCUUCACAUUUUAGGUAGACUGGGUGUUUUAUCUACUGAGUGAAUUACAGCCUUCGGCAAUGAUGUCAAGGUAGCAACAAAACCCAAAAAAUCCAUCCUUUAGAAAUUGUUUUAAGUCACAAUGAUGAUACCUUCUUUAAAAGCUUUGACUUACUGAAAUAAUGCUUUUCAUUUGUCCAAGAUGAGUACAUAGCAGAAUUUGGAAAUAUGGUUCCAAAAGGCUAAAUAGACUGACUUUUUUGAUAUUUUUCCCUUAUAGGGAGAAAGAAACAUUAACGGUUUAUCAGAUGCCUUGACUGUACUUUUUACUGCUUUGUCUUCAAGGCCUAGUGUAAUAAUUAACAUCUAGUAUGUGUUUGAUGGAUAGCCAAUUUUUGCUUCAUUGGUAUGUUGUUACCACAGUCAUUGGUAGAGUCAAUAUAUGAAUGAAGAAAGUAUAACAAAUUUGCCCUCUAGUAGAGUACAGGCAAAGUAUGGCCGUCAGUUUCACCCUGAUUUUUUUUCCUCCAUUCUUUUUUAGGGUUUAGGUCAAGAACAAGGGCAUUUCAUUGUACCACAUAGCUGAGAGUAGGGAAUUGGGACAUACUGUCUUGCUUUAAAUUAAAGUUGUCUGUUUCAUCAAGUAGAGAGGUUCCUAAGAUAUUGCCAGAUUUCUGACUCGGGGUUUGUUAAAAAUAGAAAAGGUAGUUCCUUAAGGUUGUAUUUUAUUGGAUGCCUCCACCUGCUUCAGGCUAGCUCACUGGAGAAUAAAUAUUCCAGGUUAAAAAAAAAAAAGCAUGUGUUCACGUGAACUUGUCCUUUGAGCAAACCUGUUGGAAAUCAAGAGGUCAUUGCUGUUGGAGAGGAUAAGAGGGUGUACUUGUUGGUGUGUUAAGAGUAGUUCACAACAUAAAAAUAAAUGUAAAUGCAUCUAUUAUAUUUGGGUUGGCAAAAUAUAUUGGUUAUUUACUCUGUUGAUUCCUGUAGUGUACAUAAAUAUGAUCUACAACUCUGUGAACAAAAAGGCUUGAAAAAUUGUUCUGAAAAUGGACAAAUCAUGAACAGAUAAUUGAACAAGAAAAUAAGCAGAAAGUAAAUUUGUGAAAUAUUUCAAACUCAUUUACAUUCAGAAACAUCUUUUUAAGAUCACUGUGAUACAUUCGACUGUCAAUUCUGAAGAGACGUAUAAAGGAAAUGCCAGCUAAGGAGCAAGGAAACAGCUUUCAUUCAUGGGCUAAAUUGCAGCUUAAAAAAGAUGGACCAGGAUUAUUUCCUUUAGAAACUUACUGUACAAAAGAUACUGUUCACCCCAUUAGAGAACUGAUUUGAAGUUACUCUUCCCUGUGAGGGCUCUGUCAUCUUAACUGUAUUCACAUACUUUCAACUGUUCCCCUUGCUGCUAACCUCAGGUUCUUUAGUUCAUCUAUCUGGCAGAGCUGAUUUGGGGAAAACAAGACAAACCUUCUCAGGUUUUCUUAAUAAAUAAGCAGUUGUCAUGUUUCAAGAGUUUUAGAAAUGAGCAAUAAUCAAGGAAGAGGACAACGAUUGCAUACGUUUAUAAUAUUUAGAACAUCUUUUGCCACAAUAAACACUGGAAACCACCCACUUGUGGACACCAAACAUUUGGAUUUGUAUAUUUUGUGGCAUUCCCUCACUCUAAUCCUCUCAUCCUUAAAAAUUUUCAGAAAUUUUUGCAGCAACAAACACUGAUUGCAACAUAUGAUUUAGGGUAGAUUUAUGAACCAUUUUUUCACUGAAAUACAUCAACAGGAGUGAGUAGUCUGAGUGACCACCCCAGCAUGGAGAAAACUGUAGUUUACAGAUUCUUCUGGAGCAUUUUUAUUUCUAGAUUGCGGUGGAAGUCUAACCCCCCUUGGAGAUGUCUGCCUUAAAGGGUCUUUGGCCAGGGUCCUCUGUAGAGCCAUAGUCCAGAUCUACUCUAUUUGUGUGCUCCUUACAACAUCAGAACAGCAACUCUCAAUCCGGAUUCAUCCCCAGAAUGCCGUCUGAGUCACAGCGUGGCAGGUGCAUAAAGAAUUAUCUACUGAAUUGAGAAACAUUUCAAAUAUAUAAAACUUGAAAUAUUUUGGGUAGUCUGUACAAACUCAAGUUGACAAGCCAACCCUGCAGGAAUAUAUGGAUAGAAGGGGAAGGAUAACAUGUUGAAUUCAGCUACAUGCCUCAUCAGCUAGAAAACCUUGGAAGAAAGAAAGAUAGAUUGAUACUUGCCUGAACUUCAUCAACCAAUAAUAUUUUUUUUCUUGCUAUGGAGAGUCCACUCGCCUUUGGAAGAUUUACCAGUAAAAGCCCUGCACAUGAUAUACUUGUGUGCACAUGCAAUAAGGACAUCAUUCCCCAACUCCUGCUAGCAUUGUGAAAGAGCUCCAAAUAUUCAAAUAAUAUAAACUUUUUUUCGUGGACAUUUAGCUUACGAGUUUGUUUAAAUAUGUGGGAAAAUUAUGUUUAGAUAAUAGUAUUGAAAUGAGAAUGUAAGAUACACAUUGAAUGAUAAAUGUGUAUGAAUUGUUCAUUGUGCCUUAGGUAAGCCAGACAGUGAAAUUAAAUGUGUAAUAGUUGUAUUUUUUUGCAUAAUCUUGGAAUGUAAUUAGUUAAAAGCAAACACUUAGAUUUUGAACAUGAAUCUGUUAAGCUUGUUAAUGUAGUUGCUGUGGCUAAAUAACUGGUUUCCUGGGGAAGCUUCUAUUUGCUAGAAUUUUAUUCUGGAACAGUUGUUAGAAAGGAAUUCUCAGGUCACCUUUUAAAGAUAUACACAAUUCUGUAUUCACUUUUUGAGUGCAUAAGGGUAAUAGAAAAUGACAUGGGAAGCGUUAAUUAGAAAAAAAGGCAUUUUGUUUAUGUGCAUUUGAGGAUACAGUGUUUGAAGUUUCUAAAUAAUUGUUUUAUGACAUUUUCUUGGUACAUAGAUAUUGCUAACAAUUAGUUUGCUGAAGUAUGUAGAAACAUUUUAAGAAAUGAUUUUAGAAAUAUAAUUGUUAAAGUACCUCUGAUGUAUAUUAAAAAUCCUUUUAUUUUGGUUUA